GUAGGGAAUAUUGGGCAAUGGGCGAAAGCCUGACCCAGCAACGCCGCGUGCGCGAUGAAGGCCUUCGGGUUGUAAAGCGCUUUUCUGGGGGAAGAGCAAGGACGGUACCCCAGGAAUAAGGUUCGGCUAACUACGUGCCAGCAGCCGCGGUAACACGUAGGAACCGAGCGUUAUCCGAAUUUACUGGGCGUAAAGCGCGUGUAGGUGGUUCGAUAAGUUGGGUGUGAAAGCUCCUGGCUCAACUAGGAGAGGCCGCUCAAGACUGUCGGACUUGAGAACGGUAGAGGGAGGUGGAAUUCCCGGUGUAGUGGUGAAAUGCGUAGAUAUCGGGAGGAACACCAGUGGCGAAGGCGGCCUCCUGGACCGUUUCUGACACUGAGACGCGAAAGCUAGGGGAGCGAACGGGAUUAGAUACCCGAGUAGUCC
rnacentral:rRNA from 1 species